AUGGAUGAGCCAUGGAUAGUUUUUGGCGAUUUCAACGAAAUCUUAUUCUCCCAUGAAAAGGAAGGAGGAGCACCCAGGGAGCAAAGAUGUAUGCAAGCAUUCAGGGAUGUCCUGUCAGAGUGCGAGUUGGUAGAUCUGGGUGCAACGGGAGACGCAUAUACAUGGAGUAGAGGGAGGAUAAAGGAAAGGUUGGAUAGAGCUGUCUGUCACUCACGGUGGAAUUUGAUCUUUCCUAAUGUUGGUGUCGUGAAUGGUGAAAUGACAAAAUCUGAUCAUCGUCCCUUGGUGAUAGAUACUGAGUUCUAUAAAGAAACGAACCGACCCCUACGGCCGGUGAAGAGAUUUGAGGGGAGGUGGUUAAAGGAGGAGACGGUGGAGGAGGUGGUUCGCACGGCCUGGCAGCGAGCAUUAUUGCUAGGUCUAGGGCCGUUCAAACAAAAGGUGGACUCAGUUCAUGAGGAGCUACAUAAAUGGGACAGAGAGACCCUCAAAAGACCUCAAAAGCGAAUGGCAAAACUGAAAAAGGAGUUGGAAGAACUGAGAAGAGGGCCGGCUACUGAUGUAGCACUUGAUAGACAGAAGGAGAUACUGCUGGUGAUUGAAAAUCUAUUGGAGCAGGAAGAAAUUGCAUGGGUCCAGAGAGGAAGAGCUAACUGGCUGAAGCAUGGUGAUCGGAAUACUUAUUUCUUCCAUAUGUAUGCUUCGGCAAGGAAGAAGAGGAACAUGAUUAAGGGACUGAAAGACGAGAAUGGAGUGAUGCAGGACGGACAACAGGAGAUAGCUGAGAUAAUUAAAACCUAUUUCACUAACUUGUUUUCUUCCCAGGUUGAGCCCCUAAUGGAGAGGUUUUUCGGGAUGUGA
rnacentral:rRNA from 1 species